rnacentral:rRNA from 1 species
UAAAUGCGGAAGAGAUAAGUGCUGAAAGCAUCUAAGCACGAAACUUGCCCCGAGAUGAGUUCUCCCUGAGACUUUAAGUCUCCUGAAGGAACGUUGAAGACGACGACGUUGAUAGGCCGGGUGUGUAAGCGCAGCGAUGCGUUGAGCUAACCGGUACUAAUGAACCGUGAGGCUUAACCUU